GGAGCGGCCUCCGUGCGCGUUAGACGCGGCGGCGGGUCGGCUCUCUAUGGAGGUGGCGGAGGGAAGCGCUGGGAGGCCGCUGCUCCUGCCGUGGUGACUCGGAGACUCGCCCUGCCUCGCGCGCUCCCCCCUUCCCCUCCCCAGCCCCGCUCCCCGGCUCCCUUCCCCUUCCCCCUCCCCUUGCCUUUUCCCCUGCCCUUAUAGCUGCCGGGACCCGGGGAAGCUGACAAGGCCUUAGGGAAGGUUUUGUUUUUCCCCACCCCGUCAAUUUAAUUUUAUUCUUUUGAAGAUUCUUCGUUGUCAAGCCGCCAAAGUGGAGAGUGCGAUUGCAGAAGGGGGUGCUUCUCGU